rnacentral:rRNA from 1 species
UCGAGAAUCAUUCACAAUGGGGGCAACCCUGAUGGUGCGACGCCGCGUGGGGGAAUGAAGGUCUUCGGAUUGUAAACCCCUGUCAUGUGGGAGCAAAUUAAAAAGAUAGUACCACAAGAGGAAGAGACGGCUAACUCUGUGCCAGCAGCCGCGGUAAUACAGAGGUCUCAAGCGUUGUUCGGAAUCACUGGGCGUAAAGCGUGCGUAGGCUGUUUCGUAAGUCGUGUGUGAAAGGCAGGGGCUCAACCCCUGGAUUGCACAGGAUACUGCGAGACUAGAGUAAUGGAGGGGGAACCGGAAUUCUCGGUGUAGCAGUGAAAUGCGUAGAGAUCGAGAGGAACACUCGUGGCGAAGGCGGGUUCCUGGACAUUAACUGACGCUGAGGCACGAAGGCCAGGGGAGCGAAAG